UUUUCUAAAAUGUGUUUUCGAGAUUUUUUGAUUUUUUAGAUUUUCCAUGUUUGAACACAGUUAUUCGAUUUUCCAAAUUCGAACACAGUUCUUCAUGGAGAGAGUGAGCUUCAAUUCGAAUGAGGAUCUCAUGCUCAACUUCACUCAUUUGAUCUGUUUCGUGAACUUGAAUGGUCUCAUGGCGAAGAAUAUUAAUAUUUUUGCUGUUUUUAUAUAUUGUUUCUAAUUUGAGACUCAUGAAAUGAUAAAGUUGUUUUGUUCUUGAAAACUCUCUGCUUAGCAACAUGGGCUCCAAAUUGUUGAUGUUGAUUGCUUGGUUUAUUGGUUUGAACCAUGGGUUCCAAACUGAGCAAGUACACAGAUCUGAACUGCCUUAACACAUAUUUGUUUGUGUUGGAUUUAAAUAGAUAAAAAAAAUUUUGAACAAACCACUCUAUCCUCUCUCCAAAAGGCUCAUAUUUGUUUAGAGAUCUAAAGCAGCAGAGAUCAGAAGUCGCCAUAAUGAAUGGCAGUGCUGCAGCGGUGGUGAAGUAGGCUAGGAUUUUAACGAGAGAGAGAGAGAGGGGACUGUGACAUUUCAGUGAAUCCACUUUGGAAUAGAGAGAGAGACCAGUAGCUUUGCCGCCACCGACAAUGGAGACAUCGAGCUCGGACAUGGUGGUGCCAUUGAUUCCGACAAGAAAACCAUUCCGGCAACGUGAUCAACGUGGCAGUGCAUUAUGUUGGGAGUUAGAUGAAUGGGAGUCCGCUGCGGCCAAUGAGUCUGGUGAUCGAAGAUAAUCUACAAAGAGAGAGGAACGUCAAUGGAAAAUAUGGGUAUUUUGCUCACUUUGCCUAAGCUUGUCUUUAUGGGCAAAGUAUUUUAGCUCCUAUAUCUUUCACUACAAGAAAUUAGUGCUUUAGGGACUAAUAUUUAGGGACCAAGUAAAUUUGGUCCCUAAAAAUAAUUUUUUACAGACAAAUUCAAAUUUGCAGUAAGAAUGCAAAAAUAGUUGUUAGUAUUAUCACUUUUGCACUUGGAUGCUAAGUUUAAUAUUCCCAUAUUUUUUUGAGACAAAUUAAUUUAGUAAUAACUAUACAAUUGACACUUUUAGAGACUAAAUAUUUGUCAUUAACAUUUAGGGACCAAAUAUUUCUACUCUCUUUCCCUAUUAAAAAGUCGGGCGGCAAUAGAACAGAACACACACACAUACAAAAAGUCGAGCCUCUCUCUGUUCAACCCUAAUUUCCCAAAUUCACUCUGUCUAGGACUCUAGCUUCAAUCGAUCUGAGAUCUGCAGCUUUAAUCGAUCUCAUUUUCAGGAUUGAUCUAGGACUCCUCUUGCCCUAACUUGCCAUGAUCGAUCUCAUUUUCAUGGCUCCAAUGCAAACCUGAGUUCUUUGGCUUCAAUUUGAAGUUUGAUAAAUGAUUUGUUAAGCCUCGAGGAGAUUACAUAGAGCUUCACAAGAGACAUGGCUAUCGCCCUGAUCACUUCGAGCACAAACGCAAGAAAGAGGCUCGCGAGGUUCAUACGCGAUCUCAGAUUGCUCAGAAGUCUUUGGGUAUCAAGGGUAAGAUGUUUGCUAAGAAACACUAUGCUGAAAAUGCCCAAAUGAAGAAAACGUGAGUGUCAUUCUUACAUUUACAUUGGUUUUCAUUUUAUUUGAAUAAUUCUAUACUCGUGAAUCCUGACUUUGAAUAUUUUUGAUAGAUGAAUGUGUAACUAUUGGUUCAUGCUCCCUCUUCUCUCAACAUGCCUUUGCAUUUUUUGCAAAAAUUUGAUGUGUAAUCUUAUAUCUGUUGCUUAUGCUAAUUGCCAACUACUUAAGACUAGCAUGUCCUGUUUGAUGCGCUGCAGCAUAUUCUCUAUACGAAGAAAGAGUUGUUCAUUUAUGAUGUUGGCUACAUAAUAAUGAUAUAACCACAAGUUGACUAGCAUAGGUCGUGUCCCCUACUUAAUUGAGGAAAGCUACACAGCUUCAAUAUUUUGUGAGAUUUGUAGUAAUGAACAACUCUGUUUAAGUAGAACUAUCAACUCUGUUUUUAAGUGUAUGAAACUUGUGGCCUAGUAUGUGGACUUUCAGAAAUUUAUUGCGCCUUAAUUGGUUCCUUGCCAUUUGGACGAGACUUUUUAAAAUAUGAACAUGUUUUCUAUUUUGUAAACAUUUCCAUGGUACUUUUAUGCUAUAUCCUUAUAUGUAAAAUUUAAAUUCAGGUUAUUCAUUUUUUGUGUAUUUUAUCUUCUUCAUGAGUAAUUUUAAUUGUUGUACACUAUUUGUUUUUAAAACAUCUAAAGAACCCACUUAUCUGUCUAAGUUGCAUUAAUUAUUGUCUUAAAAGGCAUACCUUCUCAUCCAUUCUUGGGUGUUCCUUUCAAAUUUGUUUGAGAGACUUUUGUGCAUUGGAGUUGUUUGGAGCCUUUUAUGUACGUACAAGGUAAUUAAUGGUUCCUAUCUCCUGGUUAGUUAUUUGUUCUUUUUCUAUUAUUCAAGCAAUUACACAUGGGCAUUGAAUUCAUUUCUAAACUUUUACUAAAUUUCAGUGACUAGUGUUUAACUUUCGGAACUGCUACAGAAUGCCAGAACCUAGUCACUGAGAUGCUUGGCACCACAGAUGAAAAUGAGCCCUUUCAGAAUCUCAGGGAUAUGGCAAUGACCAAGUUAGGUGAAGGCUGUCACUUGCUCAAGGAUAUAGUGCUGUCACACUGCCGAGAUCUCGGUCUAACCCAUCUUGUUAACAAAUGCACCAUGCUCGAAUCCUGCCACAUGGUUUAUUGUCCAGGCAUUAACUGUGAUUUCUAAUUGUAUCGGGAUAAAGAAGAUCCUGGUUGAGAAGUGGAAGGUUAGCCAGAGGACCAAACGGAGGGCAGAUGGUAUGAGGUAUCUAUAAUAGAAUUGGGCCCUAAUUCAAGACUCUACCAGUGCUCAAGAGAGAACACAAUUUCUUCAAGAGAAAGCGAGAAACCCGAAACCCUUGAAAUCGACUCCUUCAAAUCGUCUUUCUGAUGGAGAACACAAAGACGAAGCACAAACCCUAAGUCGAAACAGAUGAAGCUGAAACCCCCCUAAACCCCACACACGAACCCUAAGAGUAAGCAAGCAAAUGAAUAAGAUGAAGCUUCAGAUUGCUGAAAAUUAAUCACGUAUCUUCAAAUCCAGGUCUUUAUUUUUAUGAAAUCAUUUUUCUCAUGAUAGAGAAUUACUUCAAAUUGCUUGAGAUUAGUUGAGAUUGCCCGAAAUUUGUUUGAGAUUUGUUUGAAAUCUAUUUAGACUUGUUAAA